rnacentral:rRNA from 1 species
GGAUUAGAUACCCUGGUAGUCCACGCCGUAAACGAUGAGUGCUAGCUGCUGGAAAUGUUUACCGUUUCAGUGGCGAAGCUAACGCAUUAAGCACUCCGCCUGGGAAGUACGGCCGCAAGGCUAAAACUCAAAGGAAUUGACGGGGGCCCGCACAAGCGGUGGAGCAUGUGGUCUAAUUCGAAGCAACGCGCAGAACCUUACCCAGGCUUGACAUCCUAGGAAUUCCUUGGAAACAAGGAAGUGCCUUAGCAAUAAGGAACCUAGAGACAGGUGCUGCAUGGCUGUCGUCAGCUCGUGCUG